rnacentral:rRNA from 1 species
UACAGAGGGUGCGAGCGUUAAUCGGAAUUACUGGGCGUAAAGCGCGCGUAGGCGGCUUUGCAAGUCGGGUGUGAAAUCCCCAGGCUUAACCUGGGAACUGCAUUCGAGACUGCAUUGCUAGAGUAUGGGAGAGGGAAGUGGAAUUUCAGGUGUAGCGGUGAAAUGCGUAGAUAUCGGGAAGAACACCCGUGGCGAAGGCGGCUCUCUGGAACGCAACUGACGCUGAGACGCGAAAGCGUGGGGAGCAAACAGG